rnacentral:rRNA from 1 species
GACGAACGCUGGCGGUGUGCUUAACACAUGCAAGUCGAACGGAAAGGCCUAGCUUGCUGGGUACUCGAGUGGCGAACGGGUGAGUAACACGUGGGUGAUCUGCCCCUGACUUUGGGAUAAGCCUGGGAAACUGGGUCUAAUGCCGGAUAUUCAUUUUUCCUCGCAUGGGGAUUUGUGGAAAGCUUUUGCGGUUGGGGAUGGGCCCGCGGCCUAUCAGCUUGUUGGUGGGGUAAUGGCCUACCAAGGCGACGACGGGUAGCCGACCUGAGAGGGUGAUCGGCCACACUGGGACUGAGACACGGCCCAGACUCCUACGGGAGGCAGCAGUGGGGAAUAUUGCACAAUGGGCGCAAGCCUGAUGCAGCGACGCCGCGUGAGGGAUGACGGCCUUCGGGUUGUAAACCUCUUUCAGCUCCGACGAAGCGCAAGUGACGGUAGGAGCAGAAGAAGCACCGGCCAACUACGUG